CCUACGGGAGGCAGCAGUGGGGAAUAUUGCGCAAUGGGCGAAAGCCUGACGCCGCGACGCCGCGUGAGGGAUGCAGGUCUUCGGAUCGUAAACCUCUGUCAGCAGGGAAGCACGGUCACUGUGCUAAUCAGCAGUGAAUUGACGGUACCUGAAGAAGAAGCCCCGGCUACCUACGUGCCAGCAGCCGCGGUAAUACGUAGGGGGCAAGCGUUAUCCGGAUUUACUGGGUGUAACGGGGGCGCAGACGGCGAUUCAAGCCAGGGGUGAAAGCCCGGGGCCCACCCCCGGGACUGCUCUGGGAACUGCGUGGCUGGAGUGGAGGAGGGGAAGGCGGAAUUCCUGGUGUAGGGGUGAAAUGCGUAGAUAUCAGGAGGAACACCGGUGGCGAAGGCGACCAGCUGGACUACAACUGACGUUGAGGCCCGAAAGCGUGGGGAGCAAACAGGAUUAGAUACCCCAGUAGUC
rnacentral:rRNA from 1 species